rnacentral:rRNA from 1 species
GAUGAACGCUAGCUACAGGCUUAACACAUGCAAGUCGAGGGGCAGCAUUUCGCUAGCAAUAGUGAAGAUGGCGACCGGCGCACGGGUGAGUAACACGUAUCCAACCUGCCGAUAACUCGGGGAUAGCCUUUCGAAAGAAAGAUUAAUAUCCGAUGGUAUAUUAAAACCGCAUGGUUUUACUAUUAAAGAAUUUCGGUUAUCGAUGGGGAUGCGUUCCAUUAGUUUGUUGGCGGGGUAACGGCCCACCAAGACUACGAUGGAUAGGGGUUCUGAGAGGAAGGUCCCCCACAUUGGAACUGAGACACGGUCCAAACUCCUACGGGAGGCAGCAGUGAGGAAUAUUGGUCAAUGGGCGAGAGCCUGAACCAGCCAAGUAGCGUGAGGGAUGAAGGCUCUAUGGGUCGUAAACCUCUUUUAUAUGGGAAUAAAGUUUUCCACGUGUGGAAUUUUGUAUGUACCAUAUGAAUAAGGAUCGGCUAACUCCGUG